rnacentral:lncRNA from 1 species
CUGGCUUGGACCAAAUUUUAUCACCCAAGUAUGGAAACAGAUUUAGACCAAACUUAGAACUAACUUCAGACGACUUUACCCCAGGAAAUAUUUAAUACUAGCGGAGGAAGAAAGGACAAGGAGCCCUCUUUAUCCUGUUCAGUAUGGCAGUAGAAAGCUGCCACAAAGUACUGGAGCAGAAAAGAAGUUAUCUUUGGUCUUUGUCUUCCUCUGCACCAAAAGAGAGAGUAUACUAGAUCAAAGGAGGAAUUAGAAUCAAUUAGAGAGAGACUUCUUCAAAUAAUAACAGACACUGUAUUAAGCACUUUACAUGCAUCAUCUCAUCUAAUUCUUAAAAAAGAAAAAUCACCUAAACAGAAAAACACUCCAAAAUUCAAAAGCC